rnacentral:rRNA from 1 species
AUACGUAGGGUGCGAGCGUUGUCCGGAAUUACUGGGCGUAAAGAGCUCGUAGGUGGUUUGUCGCGUCGUCUGUGAAAUUCCGGGGCUUAACUCCGGGCGUGCAGGCGAUACGGGCAUAACUUGAGUACUGUAGGGGAGACUGGAAUUCCUGGUGUAGCGGUGAAAUGCGCAGAUAUCAGGAGGAACACCGGUGGCGAAGGCGGGUCGCUGGGCAGUAACUGACGCUGAGGAGCGAAAGCAUGGGUAGCGAACAGGAUUAGAUACCCUGGUAGUCCAUGCCGUAAACGGUGGUCGCUAGGUGUAGGGGUCUUCCACGACUUCUGUGCCGUAGCUAACGCAUUAAGCGCCCCGCCUGGGGAGUACGGCCGCAAGGCUAAAACUCAAAGGAAUUGACGGGG